rnacentral:rRNA from 1 species
UGCCAGCCGCCGCGGUAAUACGGAGGGUGCGAGCGUUAAUCGGAAUCACUGGGCGUAAAGCAUGCGUAGGCGGCGCAGCAAGUCAGACGUGAAAGCCCUCGGCUCAACCGAGGAAUUGCGUUUGAAACUGCUGUGCUUGAGUCUCGGAGAGGUUGGCGGAAUUCCAGGUGUAGGAGUGAAAUCCGUAGAUAUCGGAAGGAACACCAGUGGCGAAGGCGACUUCCUGGGCCAAUACUGACGCUGAGGUGCGAAAGCGUGGGGAGCAAACAGGAUUAGAUA